ACCCUUUAAUGUUUGAUGUUCUAACGUGGACCCGUGAUCCGGGUUGCGGACAGUGUCUGGUGGGUAGUUUGACUGGGGCGGUCUCCUCCUAAAGAGUAACGGAGGAGCACGAAGGUUGGCUAAUCCUGGUCGGACAUCAGGAGGUUAGUGCAAUGGCAUAAGCCAGCUUGACUGCGAGCGUGACGGCGCGAGCAGGUGCGAAAGCAGGUCAUAGUGAUCCGGUGGUUCUGAAUGGAAGGGCCAUCGCUCAACGGAUAAAAGGUACUCCGGGGAUAACAGGCUGAUACCGCCCAAGAGUUCAUAUCGACGGCGGUGUUUGGCACCUCGAUGUCGGCUCAUCACAUCCUGGGGCUGAAGUAGGUCCCAAGGGUAUGGCUGUUCGCCAUUUAAAGUGGUACGCGAGCUGGGUUUAGAACGUCGUGAGACAGUUCGGUCCCUAUCUGCCGUG
rnacentral:rRNA from 1 species